UCAUGUACACAACUCAUCAUUGCAAGAAGCAUAUAGGGCAAGUGAAAGACAUCCUCCAAGUCAGCAAAGACCAUGAAUUCCUUACGAAGUUCAAUGAUUGCUGUUAUCUUUGCCAUGACAUUGAUCUUUUCAUAUGAAGUGAUUAUGUCCCAAGCUAGGGCUCACUCUUCUUCAUCCUUAGUUUCAAAAAUGUCACAAUCUUCUCAAUCUCAUUCACAUUCAUUUUUUCACAAAGAAGAGCAAAAACCAACUCAGGAGCCUGCGGUUGCCACUAGCCUUAGAAGGAUACCACCUAGCAGACCAAAUCCUACACAGAACAGGUUAAAGCCUAGGAUAAGGGGCUAAGCAGAGGAACCGAUGGCAUGAAGCUAUGAAGAUUCAAAGCUGUGGCAUGAAUUAUGUUGGUCUAGUUUUGUUUUGUCUUAGUUUUUAAGUUUUACUGUUUCAUCCCACCUACAAAUUCUCAGGUUUAUUAGUGAGUGAGAGUGUGGUAUAGUUCAUGACUUUAGAUUGCUCUUUAUAUUAUCUUACCUUGGAUGCUUUAGAUUGUAGAGAAUAUAGGAGCAUAUGAAUGUAAAGGAAAAAAAUAAUAGCCAUCAAAAUGUCAAGACUGUUUUUGGCACUACAAGAUUCAAAACUAUUUAAUUUUUUCUUUAA